UUGCAUAUCCAUAAGCGGAGGAAAGGAAACCAACCGGGAUUGCCUUAGUAACGGCGAGUGAAGCGGCAAAAGCUCAAAUUUGAAAUCUGGUACCUUCGGUGCCCGAGUUGUAAUUUGGAGAGGGCAACUUUGGGGCCGUUCCUUGUCUAUGUUCCUUGGAACAGGACGUCAUAGAGGGUGAGAAUCCCGUGUGGCGAGGAGUGCGGUUCUUUGUAAAGUGCCUUCGAAGAGUCGAGUUGUUUGGGAAUGCAGCUCUAAGUGGGUGGUAAAUUCCAUCUAAAGCUAAAUAUUGGCGAGAGACCGAUAGCGAACAAGUACAGUGAUGGAAAGAUGAAAAGAACUUUGAAAAGAGAGUGAAAAAGUACGUGAAAUUGUUGAAAGGGAAGGGCAUUUGAUCAGACAUGGUGUUUUGUGCCCUCUGCUCCUUGUGGGUAGGGGAAUCUCGCAUUUCACUGGGCCAGCAUCAGUUUUGGUGGCAGAGCUGGGACUGAGGACUGCGACGUAAGUCAAGGAUGCUGGCAUAAUGGUUAUAUGCCGCCCGUCUUGACCC
rnacentral:rRNA from 1 species